rnacentral:rRNA from 1 species
AUUGAACGCUGGCGGCAGGCUUAACACAUGCAAGUCGAGCGGGGAAAGGUAGCUUGCUACCUGACCUAGCGGCGGACGGGUGAGUAAUGCUUAGGAAUCUGCCUAUUAGUGGGGGACAACAUCUCGAAAGGGAUGCUAAUACCGCAUACGUCCUACGGGAGAAAGCAGGGGACCUUCGGGCCUUGCGCUAAUAGAUGAGCCUAAGUCGGAUUAGCUAGUUGGUGGGGUAAAGGCCUACCAAGGCGACGAUCUGUAGCGGGUCUGAGAGGAUGAUCCGCCACACUGGGACUGAGACACGGCCCAGACUCCUACGGGAGGCAGCAGUGGGGAAUAUUGGACAAUGGGGGGAACCCUGAUCCAGCCAUGCCGCGUGUGUGAAGAAGGCCUUUUGGUUGUAAAGCACUUUAAGCGAGGAGGAGGCUACCGAGAUUAAUACUCUUGGAUAGUGGACGUUACUCGCAGAAUAAGCACCGGCUAACUCUGUGC